GUAAGUAAAACUUUCUAUCUUGUUAAAGUCCUCAUAAAGCGGAUGAGUGGCUUUCUCAGUUUUGGGAGAGCAGUGAUCUGUCCCCACGGUAUCGGUGUGUAGCUACCUCUAUUCAACUGACUGAAGUGGUUAUUUAGAUGAUUCUUUGCACCUCAUGGCUCUCCAAGGUGACAGGACAUCACCACAUUGACCAGAAGCGACUUCUCAGCUGUGAAUUGUUUCGCACUUGAAGUUCUUCCUCACAGACACCCUGUUUGAGUGCUCAGUGAUCCAGGCACUUGACCCUACAGCCAAGAGAGAGGGAAGACUACUUACUGGUCUAGCUGGCAGCAGACCCUGGCCUCGUCCACAUGAUGCUUUUAGGUGCAUGCAGAAUGCAAGAGUUGUGGGGUCAGGAAGGCUUCCACUCAGAUUUCAGAAGGUCUGGGAGGCCAGGCAGGGUGCCCGUGAGAAGGCAGACUGUGAAGUUGUGAGUGUGAAAAGCCAAAGGUGCAGUGGAGACCCCAGAAGUUUGGGGAAGCCAGGAGUGUGGUUCAUCUGAGGAAAGCUGCAAGGAGGGAGCAGAACCUGCCCAAAAGAGAAGCUGUGGGAGCUACAAACAUCUACAGGCUGUAGGGGCAGAGUCACCCAAGUCCUUUGGAGUUCACAUCUUGCCACAGAUUGCCUUGGAUGCCGCACUGGGAACUACAGGAUUUAAUAUUUGCCCUGCUGGAUUUUGGACUUGCUUUGGUCCAGUUUCUUUGUAUUCCCAUUUGUACCUUUUGGAAUGUUAAUGUUUAUAUUGUGCCAUUGAAUGUCGGAAGUGUUUGACUUUCUUUUCAUUUGUACAAGGGCUUGCAGCUAAGAGUUUGCCUUAAAUUUCAGAGAAGACUUUAGACUUGGACUUUUCAGCAGUGCUGAAAUUAUUAGGAUUUAGGCAACUCUCGGAGAUGGACUAAAUGCCUUUUGCAUAAAGGGAUGUGCAUGAGUCUUUUCGGGGCCAGGGGCGGACUAUUACAGCUUAGGGUUAGAUGUCCCCCCCAAAGCCUCAGGCUUUUUCAGAGGUGGGUGAAUCUAGAGCGUGUGAUUGACUCAUGGUGGGGCCACCCUGCGGGCACUAGGGUUAAGGGCGUGAGUGCUGCCCACCCUAAGUAGUCUGAAUAACAUAAAAGGGGCAGAAAGACGCUGUUGAGGUCCCUUGUUGCUUUUGCUACUACCGUGUGGGCGCCAGGAACUGCUUCUCCUCUGUGACGCCCCUCCGCCAUGUGCCACUCUGCCUUGGAGCCAGCCAACUAUGGACUGAAACCUCUAUGAACUAUAAGCCAAUAAACCUUUCCCCCUCUAACUGUGGGUAUUGGGUAUUUUGUCUCAGCAAUGAGAAAAAAGUAACUAAGAAAUCCCUUAUCUCAUUUUUAUGUCUAGUACAGUGUUUGGCAUGUAUUUAGUAAAUAAUUCUUGAAUGAUGACCAAGUUACCUUUAUACUCAAAGCCAACUGAGGGAAAUUUUAUAGAAUAACAACAAAAAGAAAAGUGAUCUUUUCACAUUGCCUAAUAUAUUUAUGGAACCAAUUUUCAUGAAAGAUAGCAUAGGCCAAACAUACAGGAGUCCAAAGUAUUUAGAGAAAUUAAAAGAUAAUAGGCUUAUACAUUCAAAUAAAUUGUUUGGUAUAGCCCAAAUCCCUGAAAUAAACAUCAGGGAAAACAAGAACCACAUUGUCUCACUACAUUCCUAAUAGAGCUAUAAUCAGAGAAUGAAUAUUGAACUACAGGCAUAUGUACUUUUCUAAAAAUACAGUGCAGCAACAAAACUUUCCUAAC
ensembl:lncRNA